rnacentral:lncRNA from 1 species
AGUUUAUCCAUUCCAUACUCUUGAACUCCUUUAUCCCAUCUCUGGAAACCUACACCAAUUUGUGAAGGUCCUUCUGGUAAGCAGAGUGUUUCCCCAUACACUGCUGAGGGGGACUGGGAGUCUUGUUUUAUAGAUGACUUACCAGAGGUUGUGAAGGACCUGGGCUGGGAUCCAAGUAUUCAAAUCCUGUACACUGUGUGCGAUGUCAUAUUUUUCUUCCUUUUGACUCUAUUGGUUCCAUAACUGUUACCCAGUUGGAAUUGACAAGAGAACCAGGCAAGAGAUCUGGCCACUGCAUAAAGGUCAUUUGUUCUCGCCAAGCCCUUCAGCGGUAGCACGUGUUCCAGCAGAAUCAGUGGUUAACAGGAACUCAGCCUGCAAUUCCUUUGCUGGUGGAGAGAGAGAGAGGAAGCCAGAGGUGUCAAGGAGGGAGGAACAAGGAAAUUAGUCCCUUAGAAGACAGAAGAAUAAUUUUCAAGUUGCUAAAUGUGAGUAUCAAAAGAAUUUUUAUUUUGAUAUGCUUGUAGGUUAAUUAGUGCUGCCAAGU